rnacentral:rRNA from 1 species
AAACUGAAGAGUUUGAUCAUGGCUCAGAUUGAACGCUGGCGGCAGGCCUAACACAUGCAAGUCGAGCGGUAACAGAUCUAGCUUGCUAGAUGCUGACGAGCGGCGGACGGGUGAGUAACGCGUAGGAAUCUACCGAGUAGUGGGGGAUAGCCCAGAGAAAUUUGGAUUAAUACCGCAUACGCCCUACGGGGGAAAGGAGGGGAUCUUCGGACCUUUCGCUAUUUGAUGAGCCUGCGUAAGAUUAGCUAGUUGGUAGGGUAAAGGCCUACCAAGGCGACGAUCUUUAGCUGUUCUGAGAGGAUGAUCAGCCACACUGGGACUGAGACACGGCCCAGACUCCUACGGGAGGCAGCAGUGGGGAAUAUUGGACAAUGGGGGCAACCCUGAUCCAGCCAUGCCGCGUGUGUGAAGAAGGCCUUCGGGUUGUAAAGCACUUUCAGAUGUGAGGAAAGGUUAGUAGCUAAUAACUGCUA